GGUAGGUCAAUCCGAAAGCUGGCGACGGAAACUGGUUUGAACCCAGUCGAGUGUAGUGAUACGCCUUGAGAGUUCGACCCUCUCACCUACCGCCA
rnacentral:tRNA from 1 species